rnacentral:lncRNA from 1 species
CGAACCCGGGCCGCGCGCCCUUCCGCAGGGCGGGAUGGAUGCUGUACCCCGGCCGCUGGCCGAGCUUGCGCCCCGGGCGCAGGUUUUCUAGCUCUCUGCCCUCUGUACCCUUGGGAAGAGCCCCUUUUGCCCUAGACUCUGGUCUGACUGUUGGGUCCCAUAGCGAGCUCUGACUCUGCUUUGGCCCUCACUCCUCGGUCCAGGCAGACCGCGGGUCCCCGCUGCACAAGCAUCCCUGCUCUGGCUGGCUCGAGCCAGGCCAGGCUGCUCCCUUUUUGCCUGUAGCCUGUGGGAUUAUUCCCCAUCCCCACCCAAAGCAACGGGAGUAGAUUGGUGGGCUCGGGCCAAAGAGCUAUUGAGAUUAAAAGACAGUUGGACUGCCUUGUCUUCCUUUCUGUUACAGAUUUUUAAUUGGAAGGAAUCGCCCGUAGAUGUGAUUCAGCUAUUCUUUUCCUUAGUCACACGAACACAUCAGAGAUUCUGGAAACUGACGUCCACAGAAAGAUCUGGAACUUUAUCCUACAAGGUCAUACCCCGCCAGAAAAACAUGAAGACGCAGAGUGACUCCGUUAAGGGAAAGUGCCAAGAUGAUGGGCUUUCUGCUGCCAAGCAGAGGGACUCGGAGAUCAUACAGCAGAAGCAGAAAAAGGCAAAUGAGAAGAAGGAGGAAUCCAAGUAGCUUUGCGGCUUCGUGUCCAACCCUCUUGUCCUACGCCUGUGUGCCUGGAGCCAGUCCCACCAUGCUCGAGUUUCUUCCUGUAGUGCUCACAGGUCCCAGCACUGAUGGCAUUCCCUUUGCCCUGAGUCUGCAGCAGGUUCCUUUUGUGCUUCUCCUCAGUUAGCCUCUCUCCCCUUGGGCCACUCCUGGGGGUGAGGGGGUUACCCCUUCCCAGUGUUUUAUAUUCCUGUGGGCCAUACCUCAAAGUAUUAAAAGUAGCUUUGUUUUGUUUUGUUUUGUUUUGUUUGUUUGUUUUUGAGACAGGGUUUCUCUGUGGCUUUGGAGGCUGUCCUGGAACUAGCUCUUGUAGACCAGGCUGGUCUCGAACUCACAGAGAUCCACCUGCCUCUGCCUCCCGAGUGCUGGGAUUAAAGGUGUACGCCACCAAUGCCUGGCUUUAAA